rnacentral:rRNA from 1 species
AUGGACGAGCAGUGGAUGAUCGGGCAGACUUCCCUCAGCCUCGGCCUCAACGUCGGCGGGCCACGACGGGCUCCUCCGGUGACCAGGGACCACGUGGAGGAGGACUUCAUGUCUUCCAAGAAGAAUCACGUGGUUGAGGCGCUGGAGGCCGAGCUCCAGCGAGUGGGCAAGGAGAACAGGAAGCUCAGCGACAUGCUCCGCGCGCUGGUGGCCAAGUACUCUGACUUGCAGGGCAAGGUCAGCGGCAUGAUGGCGGCGGCGGCCGCGGCUAACAGCCACCGCCAGUCGUCGACGACAUCGGAGGGCGGCUCCGCGGCGUCGGCGACCAGAAAGCGCCCCCGCAGCGACAGCCUCGACACGGCCAGCCGCAACCCUUCGCCGCCGCUCGCCGUGGCCGGCAGCAGCGGCCGCUUCGCCGUCAGCGGCCCCGUCGGCCCCGACCAGGCGGAGUGCACGUCCGUCCACGAGCCGUGCAACAGCAAGCGCGUCCGCGCCGACGAGUGCAAGGCCACCAGGGUCUCCAAGCUCUACGUCCACGCCGACCCCGCCGACCUCAGCCUCGUGGUGAAGGAUGGGUACCAAUGGCGAAAGUACGGGCAGAAGGUGACCAAGGACAACCCGUGCCCGAGGGCCUACUUCCGGUGCUCGUUCGCGCCGUCGUGCCAGGUGAAGAAGAAGGUGCAGCGCAGCGCCGAGGACAAGACCGUGCUUGUCGCCACGUACGACGGCGAUCACAACCACGCGCAGCCGCCCAAGCAACAAGGCUCUGGUGGCAGGAAGAGCGGCGACGCAGCCGCCGUCCGCGUAUCAGCUGCGCCGGUGCUUGUCCAGCAGCAGCGGAAGCAGGAAGCUUCGACGGCGGAGCAGGUCGCCGAUAGGAAGAACCUGGCGGAGCAGAUGGCGGCGACGCUGACGAGGGACCCCGGGUUCAAGGCGGCACUCGUCUCCGCGCUCUCUGGUCGGAUCCCUGCUGCCUGGCCGAAAACCUGCCAGCACAAGAGAAUAUACUCAGGAAAACAUUUUUCAAGAGAGAGGGCCGGCGCAUGA